rnacentral:rRNA from 1 species
AUUGAACGCUGGCGGCAGGCCUAACACAUGCAAGUCGAACGAGUGGCGGACGUGUGAGUAAUGUCUGGGAAACUGCCCGAUGGAGGGGGAUAACUACUGGAAACGGUAGCUAAUCCCGCAUACCAUAGGAUGUUCCCCGAUGGGAUUAGCUAGUAGGUGGGGUAACGGCUCACCUAGGCGACGAUCCCUAGCUGGUCUGAGAGGACGACCAGCCACACUGGAACUGUGACACGGUCCAGACUCCUACGGGAGGCAGCAGUGGGGAAUAUUGCACAAUGGGCGCAAGCCUGAUGCAGCCAUGCCGAGUGUAUGAAGAAGGCCUUCGGGUUGUAAAGUACUUUAAGCGGGGAGGCGUUACCCGCAGAAGAAGCACCGGCUAACUCCGUGCCAGCAGCCGCGGUAAUAC